GUGUCGGGGAGCGCGGGGCUGUGUAUCUGACUGCUUUGUAUCCAGUUUCAACGUCCCGUCCACAACGUCUUAUUUCCAUAACAGUGUGGCGCUCAGUCGAAGACUCGCGAACAGAGGAAACCCGGGGGUUUUGAACGCUACAUGACUGGGCUACACGAUGACGUGUCCCAGCGGCUGUUAACUGGCUCCGGCUUCGGCUUCACUGAGGACCGCUGCUGUUUGCUCUGCGAGCCCGUCUAAAGAUUCAAAUCGGCGUCAGCGUCCAUCAUGGUGACCGACGUACAGCUGGCCAUUUUCGCCAAUGUGCUUGGAGUCUCCCUCUUCCUGCUGGUAGUGUUGUACCACUACGUGGCUGUGAACAAUCCCAAGAAACUUGAGUGAUUUACCCCCUCAUGGAUGCAAC